rnacentral:tRNA from 1 species
CAUUAAGAAGCUAUGAACCAGCAUUAGCCUUUUAAGCUAAAGAAAGAGGACUACUCCCCUCCUUAAUGA